GUAAUAUAUAAUAAAGUAUUUAAACUGUAGUAAGAGUAAUUGUGUUAAUUUUAAUAUAUAACCAAAACAUAAAAAGUAAUGUACUUGCUAAUAGUUAUCAUUUCUGUAACUUUUGCAUUAGUCACAUGUCAGUAUUAUAAUAUUACAAUACUUGAACGAUCUUUUGGAGAAAUAAUUUGUCCGAUACAAACAUAUAUUAAAAUUGGCACAGCAACAUAUGGCCCUAUUCCUACUGACUGCAAAAACUGUUUAAAUCAAAACUGUCCAAAAAGCAUAACUGGGUUUGUUCAAAACUUAUGCGAUGGAAAUAAUAAUUGCAUUGUCCAGUCUAAUAACGACUUAUAUGGUGAUCCAUGUUUUGGCACAACAAAAUACGCUAAUAUUUUCUAUUAUUGUUAUUCUAACGCUUUUUGGACGUCAUGGAACACUUGGUCAAGUUGUAAUGUUUCAUAUGGCUAUGGAUUUUAUAACAGAACUAGGAUGUGUAAUUCCACAAAUGCUCAAGAACAAUGUUCUGGUAACAGCACUGAGGUUGCUAUGUGUUUUGUUAAUCAUACUUAUGCAGCUUUUUGGACCGCAUGGAGCGCUUGGUCAAGCUGUAAUGUUUCAUAUGACUAUGGGUUUUUUAACAGAACUAGGAUGUGUAAUUCCUCAAAUGCUAUAGAAAAAUGUUUUGGCAACAGCACUGAAGUUGCUGUGUGUUUUGUUAAUCAUACUUAUGCAGCUUUUUGGACCGCAUGGAGCGCUUGGUCAAGCUGUAAUGUUUCAUAUGACUAUGGGUUUUUUAACAGAACUAGGAUGUGUAAUUCCUCAAAUGCUAUAGAAAAAUGUUUUGGCAACAGCAUUGAAGUAGCUGUGUGUUUUGUUAAUCAUACUUAUGCAGCUUUUUGGACAGCAUGGAGCGCUUGGUCAAGUUGUAAUGUUUCAUAUGGCUAUGGGUUUUUUAACAGAACUAGGAUGUGUAAUUCCUCCAAUGCCAUAGAACAAUGUUUUGGUAACAGCACUGAAGUACAGGAGUGUUUUGUAACUAAAACACAUGCAGGCUCUAUGUUGAAUAUUUCUUUUACUGCUACUAUACAAAGAAAUAUUGUUAUGAUGAGCAUAAAAAUGUAUCCAACAUACAAUAUAAUAUCAAUCACAUAUAUUGAGUUUGAAAUUUUCUUACCGGUAUUUUUAAGUGUUUUAACAUACAAUGUUGGGCAACAUUUAGUUAGAACCAAUACCAAUCAACUGAAGUUUUCUUUUAAUGGAAGUCUUUUUAAAUUGGAUAUAUUUAACUACAGUUUCAUUGCAUUCUUCAAUGAUUCAACAUGUCCAAUAUCUGGAUUGUUCACAUUAGAAGUUCCUUUGAAGAUAUCUUUCCAAGUAGAUUCUCAAAAUAUCAUAACAUUAACAAAAACAUUUCAAAAGGUUGUAGAAUGUUUCAACAUUCCGAAAUUACCGAUAUUUCCAGAUAUUUUAAAAGAAAGUUAUGGUUGUGGAAUUUAUUGGGAUGCAGGUAACCAGCACAUAUAUGUAUGCAUGAACCAAUAUACGCAAAGUACUAAAUCAGCAUGUUAUUAUUCCAAUAAUGAUGGGUUUUUGUGGUCUGCAUGAGCAUUAGUACAAUCUGGAAAAAAAAGUACAGCACAGAAACUAUUGUAAAACAUUUUGAUUAUGUUGUGAUUCCAAGAUCAUUAGUUAGGAGAUUAAAAGAAGGUUAUGAACUUAAUUAGAUAUUAUCAUUGGUUCCGUUCUCGGUCAUCACUCUGUGACAAAAGAGUUUUACGCCAUUCAUCGUAAUCGAAAAAC
rnacentral:misc_RNA from 1 species